rnacentral:rRNA from 1 species
UACGAAGGGUGCUAGCGUUGUUCGGAAUCACUGGGCGUAAAGCGCGCGUAGGUGGCUUACCAAGUCAGAGGUGAAAGCCUGGAGCUCAACUCCAGAACUGCCUUUGAAACUGGUAGGCUUGAGUGUCGGAGGGGAUAGCGGAAUUGCUAAUGUAGAGGUGAAAUUCGUAGAUAUUAGCAGGAACACCGGUGGCGAAGGCGGCUAUCUGGACGACAACUGACACUGAGGCGCGAAAGCGUGGGGAUCAAACAGG